ensembl:lincRNA
CUUACUUCAUUUUCUUUUUCAGAUUUUAUUUAUUUACAUGUCAGAGAGAGAGAGCGAGCGAGCGAGCACGCACAAGCAGGGGGAGCAGCAGGCAUGGGGAGAAGCAGCCUUGCACUGAGCAGAGAGCCCAUGGCGGGGCUCCAUCCCAGGACCUGGGGAUUAUGAGUUGGAUGAGCUUCUUCCCAAAGAAUGCAAGCUCCACAAUGGCUGAAAUUGUGUUACCUUUCUUAUUCCUGUUCUACACCAGCCUUGGAACAGUGUCUGAUGUAGUCAGACAUCAAGGUUUGUUGAUUGAGUGUGUAAAGAAUGUUAUGAGUAUAUGAAUGGACUUGGAAUUAUUUGAGGUCACUCUUAAUGAUGGGUAGGGUUAGUGAUUAAAUUACACCUUAGGCCUUAGAGCUAGAAGUGAUCUUAUUGAUUCUCAUAGUUGGGACAAAAUUCUCCCUUCUAUAGCAUCUCUGACAGACGAUCAACCAGUCUGUGCUUGAACAACUGUAUUUGAAAGACAUAACUAUGACAUUGUCUUCUUCGGCUUCAGACAGAUUGCAGCCUUCUAUGGCAGUUUGUUCCUCAUUAUACAGCUAUAAUUAGGAGCAAACUCUUUGACUUAUCCAGAAAUCUUCUCUCAGUCCUCUCACCUUUUGCUCCUUCUUCUCAUUCCUAGGGAACAGACAGGACAAUGCUUCCCCUGAAUUACAGCCUUUCGGUGUGUAUGGCUCCUUAUAAAAAAAAAUUAAUGCUGUGGCAAAAUUCACCUUGAUUGUCUCCCAUUUAUUCCCACAUUUCUUGUUAGUAUUUAGAGACCAUUUGUCUUAGUAGUCUGCCUUAUAUUUGAGGGAGUAGAGAAAUAAAAGAAAUCUAAGGGUUAUGCUGGAAGCAGUCAGACAUAUUUUAACUUCUCUUUUAUGUACUCAGUGUUAGUGCUAUGGGGAAUUGAGCGGUGUAGUCACAAAAUUAUUGGCGUUGCUUGAAAAAUCUAUUCAUAGUGAAAGAUAAUGGUAUCCUGGGAAGCUCUGCCUGAUGGGGAAGGUGUCAGGCACAUCUUAGGGUUCUGAGUAUUUCUCAAACAGUUGUGAUAGAAAACAUCUCUUCGUCUUCUUUUUUGGGGUGUUCAACUAGUCAACAAAAAGCAUACCUCAUAUUCCUAAAAUAUUGAUGCCUUAGUUGACACUCUUUUGGGUCUUAAAAGACCAACAUAUGUGCCUGAUAGUGUAGAGUUACACAGAGCCUGAAUAUUUGCGUCCCACCGAAAGCCGUUGUGGCAUGUCUCUUCACCAAUAUGUAUGAAUGGGAGAAAAUAAAAAUCCUGGCUUGUGGAUCAAGGUAAGCCAAAAUUCCUUUCAUUUUCGCUGUGACAAACAGUGCAGCGGUAUAAGAUAUCUGAAAACAGCCUCGCAGGUUUUGAUAGAAAUCUUAAGUGGGAUGUAGAGAACAUAUGACAAAAAUAACAGCAAGUAAGUACUCCUAGGAAACUUUUUCAAGAAGAGUCAACACAAUAAUAAUUAUAGAAAUGACAAUAAGAAGAUCAGUCUUAACAGCUUUAGAAUGGCACCUAGUUUGUUUGUUUUUUUUAAGAUUUUAUUUAUCAGAGAGAGAGAUGG